rnacentral:rRNA from 1 species
GACGAACGCUGGCGGCGUGCCUAAUACAUGCAAGUAGAACGCACAGUUUAUACCGUAGCUUGCUCCACCAUAAACUGUGAGUUGCGAACGGGUGAGUAACGCGUAGGUAACCUGCCUGGUAGCGGGGGAUAACUAUUGGAAACGAUAGCUAAUACCGCAUAAUAUUGAUUAUUGCAUGAUAAUUGAUUGAACGAUGCUAUUGCAUCACUACCAGAUGGACCUGCGUUGUAUUAGCUAGUAGGAGAGGUAACGGCUCACCUAGGCGACGAUACAUAGCCGACCUGGGAGGGUGGUCGGCCAAACUGGGACUGAGACACGGCCCAGACUCCUACGGGAAGCAGCAGGAGGGGAACUUCGGCAAUGGACGGAAGUCUGGCCGAAGAACGCCGCGGGGGUGAAGAAGGGUUUCGGAUCGUUAAGCUCUGUUGUAAGAGAAGAAAGGGUGUGAGAGUGGAAAGUUCACACUGUGACGGUAUCUGACCAGAAAGGGACGGCUAACUACGUG